CAGUCGCCGCGGGAAUACGUAGGGUGCGAGCGUUAAUCGGAAUUACUGGGCGUAAAGCAUGCGCAGGCGGUUGUGUAAGACAGGUGUGAAAUCCCCGGGCUUAACCUGGGAACUGCGCUUGUGACUGCACAGCUAGAGUAUGGCAGAGGGGGGUGGAAUUCCACGUGUAGCAGUGAAAUGCGUAGAGAUGUGGAGGAACACCGACGGCGAAGGCAGCCCCCUGGGCCAAUACUGACGCUCAUGCACGAAAGCGUGGGGAGCAAACAGGAUUAGAUACCCCGGUAGUCCCUGUCUCUUAUAC
rnacentral:rRNA from 1 species